rfam:Rhizobiales bacterium TMED249 77244, whole genome shotgun sequence.
GCGGGCGUGGUGGAAUUGGUAGACACGCUAGAUUUAGGUUCUAGUGCUGAGAGGCGUGGGGGUUCAAGUCCCUCCGCCCGCA